CAAACAAAAAGAAUCUAUCUCAGAUUGAAUAUGAAAAACCAUCGUCAGGUAAUGUGAUGGUUGUAUUGCUGCUGCUGCUGCUGCUGCUGCUGCUGCUGCUGCUGCUAUAUUUCCCUGAUCAGUUUUUGCUAUUAUAAUGUUGUACGGGGCAACAACAAUUCAAAUAGCAACUAUUAAUUUCUACUACUACAACAAAGAAAGAAAAUUUACAUGUAUGUAGUAGAGAAAAGAAUGUGGUGCGCAUUAUUAAUUU
rnacentral:misc_RNA from 1 species